rnacentral:rRNA from 1 species
UACAGAGGGUGCGAGCGUUGUUCGGAAUUACUGGGCGUAAAGGGCGCGCAGGCGGCUCAGACAGUCAGAUGUGAAAGCCCCGGGCUUAACCUGGGAACUGCAUUUGAUACUACUGAGCUUGAGUACGGGAGAGGAUAGUGGAAUUCCCAGUGUAGAGGUGAAAUUCGUAGAUAUUGGGAAGAACACCGGUGGCGAAGGCGGCUAUCUGGACCGUAACUGACGCUGAGGCGCGAAAGCGUGGGGAGCAAACAGG